GGAUCCCUACGGGAGGCAGCAGUGGGGGACAUUGCACAAUGGGGGAAACCCUGAUGCAGCGACGCCGCGUGAGUGAAGAAGUAUUUCGGUACGUAAAGCUCUAUCAGCAGGGAAGAAUAAUGACGGUACCUGACUAAGAAGCCCCGGCUAACUACGUGCCAGCAGCCGCGGUAAUACGUAGGGGGCAAGCGUUAUCCGGAUUUACUGGGUGUAAAGGGAGCGUAGACGGCUGUGCAAGUCUGAAGUGCAAUGCCGGUGCCCAACCCCGGCACUGCUUUGGAAACUGUACAGCUAGAGUG
rnacentral:rRNA from 1 species